rnacentral:lncRNA from 1 species
AGAUCAUCUCAUUCAGACUUACCCUCAGGAAGCAAACGCCUCUUUGGCAAAAAUAAAAUGUGCGUUUUCUGACCCCUGGAACUCGGGUUAAUGUCUGUUAAUAUUUGUCGCCGAUGCUAUAUUUCUUCCUUUCUUUGGGAAAGGAAAAGCUGUUGCUAAAUGAAGUCAGCAGCGGAUCUUAUCGAGGAUAUGGUAGAAGAGAAGAAACGGCGCUGCAUCUAGGAACAAAGCUGUUCAGAAUAAGCAUUUACCAACAAGCCCGUGACUUAUGUAAGCAGAGGCCAGCACACACGUCGUGAGAAAUCUGCUCCCUCACUCAGAUGUCAUGAUAGCCUUCCCUUUGACUUUACCCUAAAUGUUUCUCAAAGCCGCAGAGAAGGUUCUGACAGGAUGGCCUUUCACAGAAUUACUGGAGAACCUCAGAUCUGCUACCUGGGAAACCAACCAAUCAGUCCAAGUCUGAUAAAUAACGCAUCGCUGUUACAGAAUAAAAAUACAGCAAAAAUAUAAAGAAAGUCAUGUAACAUCUGGAGAGAAAGCCAAAAGAAGCUUUAUUGAGUGGUGAUGCAAAACUGUAAUCCUAGCAAGUGGAAGGCUGGAGCAGGAAGGGCACGGGUUCAAGGACAGCCUGAGCUAGAGUGAGUCCCUGGUUGGUCUACACAGAGUCUCUCAGAAAAAAUAAAAGAAGAAAGGAAGCAGGUAAGAAGCACAAAACAGCAAAAACAAACAAACAAACAAAACCAAAAACAACCCAGCAAAUAGUGUUCUAUACUGCAUCAAAGGACAAAGCACAGUAUAUUAAUGUGUACAAUAUACAAGAAAAAAGACGUCAAUCUAAAAUUUUUAUACCCAUGUCAAAAAUCUAUGUGAAACCUGGCCUGAUGAUUCAUGCCUUUAAUCAAUCCCAGCGCUUGGGAAGAAGAGGCAGGUGGAUCUCUGUGAGUUCGAAGUGAAAAAGUAUAACGUAAAAACAAAAUUCUAGGCCUUUAGGCCCAGGCUUGAAAAUGUGACCUUUGUGACUCAAUGCUCCAAGGCAUGCUAAUCAUAAAACAGAUAGCGACAUUCCUCCACCCACCCGCUUCCUAGGUUCAGGGAGUGUUCGUUCAAAGAAAGUCACCCUGACCCACCCUGACCGUUGCUGGAACCCGGUAUGCAAAGGUGCUAUUGUUAGAGACUCCUAGAAAACUGUCUUGACUUUCCACUUCCUCGUGACUCUUAACUGGAGUUUUUGGUAUUUUCCAACAACGCCCUCCCCACCCACUUGAGUUGUGGUUUCUUCCUUUAAAUAUCUCCUCUCCCAGCUACUCGGGGCGCCAUGGUCCUCUACCCCUGUGUGGUGUAUGACUGUGGGCCCGAGAGCACUCUUGAAAUAAAAGUCCUCUUGCAGUUUGCAGC